CAAUAGCGUAUAUUAAAGUUGUUGCAGUUAAAAAGCUCGAAGUUGGAUUUCUGGUAGGAGCGACCGUGCCGAACUUGAUUGUUCGAGUAUUGUGUUGUCUUCAGCCAUCCUCGUGGAGAACUUUUCUAACAUUAACUUGUUGGGAUUGGGACCCGCGUCGUUUACUGUGAAAAAAUUAGAGUGUUUAAAGCAGGCAUUAGCUUGAAUACAUUAGCAUGGAAUAAUAAGAUAGGACUUUGGUACUAUUUUGUUGGUUUGCAUACCAAAUUAAUGAUCAACAGGAACAGUUUGAGGAUAUUCGUAUGAACAUGUCAGAGGUGAAAUUCUUGGAUUUUGAUCAGACGAACUACUGCGAAAGCAUUUAUCAAGGAUGUUUUCAUUAA
rnacentral:rRNA from 1 species